rnacentral:rRNA from 1 species
GAUCCUUGUAGUAGGUCAGCGCAGGAGUGACGCAGAAGGGUAGCCGGCCGCGGAGGUGGUCUUCCGUGGUCAAGCACGCAGGGCGUGGGACAGGCAAAUCCGUCCCGCAUGGGUCCGAGGUGCGAUGAUGGGGGCCUUAUGGCCCGAUAUCCGGUGAUCCCGGCUGCCGAGAAAAGCUUCGGCGUCAGGCUCAAAGCCGCCCGUACCCCAAACCGACACUGGUGGUCAGGUAGAGAAUACCAAAGCGAUCGAGCGAAUCCUGGUCAAGGAACUCGGCAAAUCACUCCCGUUCCUUCGGUUUAAGGGAGACCCCCGAUGGUGAACACACUUGCUGUGGGAGCUUUUGGGGGUGGCACAGACCAGGGGGUAGCGACUGUUUACCAAAAACACAGGUGCAUGCGAAGGCGCAAGCCGCUGUAUAUGCACUGACGCCUGCCCGGUGCCGGAAGGUUAAGAGGAUCCGUCAGCCUUCGGGUGAAGCGGUGAAUUCAAGCCCCGGUAAAUGGCGGUGGUAACUAUAACCAUCCUAAGGUAGCGAAAUUCCUUGUCGGGUAAGUUCCGACCUGCACGAAUGGCGUAACGACUUCCCCACUGUCUCGACCAGGAGCUCGGCGAAAUUGCAGUACGAGUAAAGAUGCUCGUUAAGCGCAGAAGGACGAAAAGACCCCGGGACCUUUACUAUACCUUGGUAUUGGCAUUCGGUGUGGAUUGUGUAGCAUAGGCGGGAGGCCGAGAGGCGCGGUCGCCAGAUCGCGCGGAGCCGUAAGGUGAAAUACCGCUCUGUUCGCAUUGGAUGUCUAACCUCGAACAGUCAUCCUGUUCAGGGACAGUGCCUGGCGGGUAGUUUAACUGGGGCGGUUGCCUCCCAAAGAGUAACGGAGGCGCCCAAAGGUCCGCUCAGCCCGGUUGGCAAUCGGGUGGCGAGUGCAAGUGCACAAGCGGGCUUGACUGCGAGGACGACGGUCCGAGCAGGGACGAAAGUCGGGACUAGUGAUCCGGUGCCGGUGUACGGACGCGGCAUCGCUCAACGGAUAAAAGGUACCCCGGGGAUAACAGGCUGAUCAUUCCCAAGAGUCCAUAUCGACGGGAUGGUUUGGCACCUCGAUGUCGGCUCGUCGCAUCCUGGGGCUGGAGCAGGUCCCAAGGGUUCGGCUGUUCGCCGAUUAAAGCGGCACGCGAGCUGGGUUCAGAACGUCGUGAGACAGUUUGGUCUCUAUCCUCUGCGCUCGUUGGAAUGCUGAGGAGGCCUGCCCAUAGUACGAGAGGACCUGGGUGGACGAACCUCUGGUAUGCCGGUUGUCACGCCAGUGGCACGGCCGGUUGGCUACGUUCGGAAGGGAUAACCGCUGAAAGCAUCUAAGCGGGAAGCCUGCUCCAAGAUAAGCAUUCCGUGGAACCUUCGAGUUCCUGUAGUCCCCAUGCAGAACACGUGGUCGAUAGGCCGGACGUGGAAGCCCCGCGAGGGGUGGAGCCGACCGGUACUAACGGACGAAAGAC